AUGAACAAAACGUUCGUCAAGGCCAUCCUCAGCGCAAUCCCGAUUCACCAGCUACUUGCUCUCACGCCCCCCAAGAAGACCAUCCGGGCACUCGAGAAAAUUCAGCGAGGCUUCUUGUGGGCUGGGCGCGCGGAGGCAAACGGAGGUCACUGCCACGUUAACUGGCAACGCGUUGUUGGAAAUAUGCCAUAG
rnacentral:rRNA from 1 species